ensembl:lncRNA
CCCCCUCUGCCCCCAUACCGCCCCUCCGUCCCCACCGUUGUCCCCAUGUCCCCCCCUGUCACCUGGGGGGUGGCCCUGGGGGUGGCCCUGGGCGCUGUGGGGUGGGCGCUGUUGGUUUCCUCUCUGCCCCACAGCGCCUGGGGGGUGGGGGGGGGGCAGGUGACGGUGGUGGCGUCUGUCACCAACACCCGCGGGCUGUGGAGCGAUUGUGUCACCGACGCCAGCGGGGUGACAUCGUGUGUCCCACUGCAGUCACUGCUCACACUGCCCGGUAUGAGCCCGGCCCGGGGCUGUUCCUGGCCGGGGGGGGGCGAUGCUUUUGGGGCUGGGGGGGGCAGCGCUCCUCCUUGCCGCGCGAGGACCCCCCCAGAACACAACGACCCCCAGUCUCCCCCUGGGGGGCCCCCCCCGGCCCCGAGGAGCGUCUGCUGCCAGUUUGGGGGACAAAUACGGCCGCAACGCCUACGUGUGACACCCCCCUCCCCCCCCCCAAAAAAAAGGGGGACCCCCCCCUCAGGACUGUGGGGACGCCCCCACAGGAAAAUUGGGGAUCCCUCUCUCCGGAUCUUGGGACACCAAAGGACCCCCCCAGGAACAUUGGAG